GAUGAACGCUGGCGGCGUGCCUAAUACAUGCAAGUCGUACGCACUGGCCCAACUGAUUGAUGGUGCUUGCACCUGAUUGACGAUGGAUCACCAGUGAGUGGCGGACGGGUGAGUAACACGUAGGUAACCUGCCCCGGAGCGGGGGAUAACAUUUGGAAACAGAUGCUAAUACCGCAUAACAACAAAAACCACAAUGGCUUUGUUUGAAAGAUGGCUUUGGCUAUCACUCUGGGAUGGACCUGCGGUGCAUUAGCUAGUUGGUAAGGUAACGGCUUACCAAGGCAAUGAUGCAUAGCCGAGUUGAGAGACUGAUCGGGUCACAAAUGGAACUGAGACACGGUCCAU
rnacentral:rRNA from 1 species